CCGCGUGCCGCGGGCGGUGGCGGUGCGCGGCAUAGUGGCAGAAGGAAUGCCUAGCACCCGCCUGGUGCCGGCGGCAGGGGGAGCAAGGGGCGGUGGGGCUCUAGCACCCGCCGCCACAUCAAGCUCGGCGAGCUCCAGCUCCCUGGACAUGCCGCCGAUGUGCCGCUCUUUCACUGAAGGUGUUGGUAUUGUUCUUGUCUGAUACUACCUGUUUACUGAAGAUUAUUUUGUUCAACCUAUCUGAUGCAAAAUCACCAGAUCCAACUUUACUUGUUUUGACAAGCUGCACAAGUGUUCUGCAACAUGUCUUUUCUAGUCGGGUUGUACUACAAUCUUUGGUUAUGGUAAAAAUACUUGAAAUGUGAUUAAGAAAUACUGCAAUAAUGUACAAAGCUGCAUCAGAAGCUGCUAUCGACCGGCGCCAAAGCUUAAUCAAGCUCUGUGUAUUUCUUUGUUACCUUUGAAUGGAACCUGACAGGAUCAAGCUCCUAAGAUUGUUGAGCUGUUGUACUUUAGACCAAUUUUCAGAGUUCAUUCCUUUCUGCGGAAAAGGUCUCCAGAUUGUGUUGAUUGUUUGGAAUGACUAGUGCCGCUUCAACCUUUUUUCUAGCAUUAGACUUGCUUGGACUUUCUGUUUUUUCUUCUUCUGAUUUUUGAUCCUCCAAUCUGGAACAAACCGCCUCGACAGAGCUCACCUUGGGAGGUCUUGUGUGUGGGCAUGCAGCUUGAUUAAUUUGUAUACUUUGUGUCAACCUUGAAACAACACUAAUAAGCUUAUGAACGCUAUCCUGGUCAGUUUGUUUAGUUUGGAGAUUAAAAUGUCUGGAGUUGUACAGUGAAUAAUAUUUGGUUUUGUUAAAGUUACAAUCAAAUAACGUGCUAUAAAUGGUUUCAGAUGAAGUAGUAUGCUGUGUGGAGUACCACUUGGAGACAACUUCAGGCAGUAGAAAGACCAGGUUAGUUUCAGGUGAAAAGAUAAACCAGGAGUAGGUUGGAAAAAUGAGUGAAACAAGAUUGCUUUCGUUUUAUGUUCGGAGAGCUCAUAUGCUGUAAGCUUUCUGAUAUUUCUGCAUCAACAAUUUUUCAGGUUCUUAGGUGAAAUUUACAUUUACAUGCAAAGACGCUGGAAGUUGGUAUUACUAUACCUGAUUAAUCGCCGAAGUAAAAAAAAAAAUCAUCAUAGUUAAUAACUGGAUGCUGCAUAAAAGAACCUGAGUAAUUUUUCUGAUAGUAAAGAGAGAAUCAUGCAGAUCAGACCUGAGGAAACGUGAGGGAGAUCCCAUGGAUGGAUGGCUGAUCUGAUACCUAAAAUUGCACUGUAAAAUCCCUCUCAAAUAACUGUUGCUUCACGUAGUGGAGCUUGAAACCGUCAUUGUCCUCGCAACAUAUUUAGUAUAUUUUGCAAUGUAAUACUCCUUUCAGCGUGAACCUAAUUGAGAAAAAUAUAAAUGACAGGGAAAGGGAGAAUAUUUCUAAACACAAUGACUUGUUCGAGGUGAUAUUACUACAUUUUUGUUGCAAUGAAAUACUACAAAUAGAGCCACUAGUCACUAUCUAACUGAGUGCUGCUGUUGCCAUCCGAAUAAAGCCUGUACUGUCUUAACAUGCCUGGCCAAAAUGAGAGAUGAAUGGAGACAAGGAUGAACAUGUAGUAGAGGCAACUAGUAAGUCACUGACCUGUAUGCUCUUCCUGUUCGUAAUAAGAUAGAGUCUUACUCUAGCAUCCCAUUCACUUGAAGCUCUAAGAUAGAGUCUUACGCCCGUUAUUGAUUUUCUAGAAUCCUUAAAAACCUAACAGAAAAAAGUUACAAUGCUUUUAAGAUCUGGAGGCAAAAAAAUUCGAAAAAAAUGCAAAAAAUAAAUAAAUUAGCAAUGGCGCACUAGUGCAUGGUGCGCGACUGCUAUUUUCCCGCCUUCAAAAUUCAAAAAAAUACAAAAAUAAAAAAUAAGUUAGCAAUGGCGCACCUUAUGAAUAAUGCGCCACUACUAUUGUCCCGCCUUCACAAUUCAAAAAAAUAGCAAUGGCGCACCAGUGCAUGGUGCGCCACUGCUAAGUUGGGACAGAAGUUUAAAAGGGCCGGCCAGCCACUUACCCCUUCAUUCUUCUCCUCCUCUCCUCCACUCCAUCUCCUCCUCUCCUCCUCUCCGGCGACCUCCUCCUCCUCACGGUGCUCCUCCUCCGGUGACCUCCUCCUCACGGUGCUCCUCCUCCGGCGACCUCCUCCUCCCUCCUAUCCUCCUCACGGUGCUCCUCCUCCAGCGACCUCCU
rnacentral:lncRNA from 1 species